GGGAGACAGUGAAACUCCAUCUCAAAAAGAAAAAAGAAUGGAGAGUCAAGGGACUUAUAUGGUAGUAAGAUUUCUACAUUCCACUUGAGGGUAGCCAACAAGAUGUAAGCAGAAGUCUUAUGGUGUGGCUUCUGGGAAACCUCUCCAAAGAUCUUCAGAGAAUGAUCUUUGCAGGAAAUCUCUGUUACCUGAAGAUGAAAAGGAAUGUGAACCAACUCUGAUCCCAAUUCAGACCUUCGCCAACUGACAGUUCAGUUGCCAGCACUACAGGAAAGAGAAGCCUGGAAGUACAUUAUGGGAAAAGAAGUAGAUAGGUCUUCAGUGUAAAAUCUGAAGGGGUCAUAAUGUUUAGAAAGAUCACCUGGCAGCAAUGUAGAGAAUGGACUGGAGAGAUGCUAGACCAGAAGCCAGGGGACCAACCUGGAAUGAUGCAGGUAAAAAGUGUUAAGGUCCAACUAAGGCAGAGAAAGUGGGGAUGGAGAGAAGGAGGGUGGAUAUUGUUAAAAAGAAGAAUCAUCCACAGGACAUGGGACUUCUGAAUAAGUGAAAAGGAGAGUCUAAGAUGAUUCUCUGUUUCAGCCUCAGCAUUUGAGUGGUUGGUGCAUUAAGCAUCAGCAAGAUACGGAAUAUCACUAGACAAUCAAGUUUAGGUUGAACAAUGAAAACUUUGGAUGCACUGAUUAAAAUAUAAUGAAUGUAAAAUAUAAAAAUAUAGUGUAGUGCACAGAAAUUUGAAAGGUGACAAUAUUUAAAUCCUAUUUCAGUGUUACAGAGCUGAAGUUCCAUAUGAUGAUGAGAGAAAAUAACACAGAGAAAUCUUAAGUCAGGAAGGAAGUUCUAGAAAAAAUUGGCCUUGGAAGAGAUGACCAUUUCUGCCUUUCUCCCUCACAUUAACUACUUGAAAAAUAAUCCAAAUAGAUUCAGGCAAAAUUACGUCUAUAGUUUUGCCCAAGAGGCCCAUAAAUAUUGUAUGCAAAGUUCCAAGUUUGAGAAAAAGUGGUUUUAGGCCAUUUUCUAAGCUUCCUUACUCUCACACAGCAUAAAAAAUAUCUACUGGGGAGUAGGUUUUAGGUUCAACUUUCUCAGAAAUACCUACUCUGUCUGUGUGUGUGUGUGUGAGAGAGAUGGGGGUCUCCCUA